rnacentral:rRNA from 1 species
UACGUAGGUGACAAGCGUUGUCCGGAUUUACUGGGCGUAAAGAGCGCGCAGGCGGUCGAUCAAGUCGAGUGUGAAAGCCCCCGGCUUAACUGGGGAGGGUCAUUCGAUACUGAUCGACUCGAAGGCAGGAGAGGGUAGUGGAAUUCCCGGUGUAGUGGUGAAAUGCGUAGAUAUCGGGAAGAACACCCGUGGCGAAGGCGGUUCUCUGGGACGGUACUGACGCUGAGACGCGAAAGCGUGGGGAGCGAACAGG